GCGGCGAUCGCGGCUCCUUCUUUCGGUGCAGGGCUCGGCGGCCGCGCGGGCGGCUCUCCCCAUUGUUGCCAUUUCUCAGCCGCGAUGGCCCUUCUCGGCAGUUGACGUUCGUGCCCCUUUCCCUCCCCCUCAGUUCUUCCUUCUCCUCCUCGACCUCCGGGCUCCAGCGGCACCAACUGUGAGGCAGACGCGCCCGCGGCACCAUGAAAGUCGUCAUCGGCAUCGGCGGGAUCACUAAUGGCGGGAAGACCACCUUGACUGACAAACUCGCACGAUCGCUUCCCAACUGUAGUGUGGUGCAUCAAGAUGACUUCUUUAAGCCCCAGGAUGAGAUACAGAUUGAAGAUGGAUUUAAACAGUAUGAUGUUAUUAGUGCUCUGGAUAUGGAUGCAAUGAUGAGUACCAUCAGUGCCUGGAGGAAAAACCCAAUCAAGUUUGAGCGAUCCCAUGGCAUUAAUACACUCGAUACCAGGACAACAGAGGAAAAUGAUGAUACCAUUCAUAUUCUUAUCGUAGAAGGAUUUUUACUUUAUACUUACAGACCCCUGAUCGAUGUUUUCAAUGUCCGAUAUUUUCUUUCUAUUCCUUAUAAAGAAUGUAAGAGGAGGAGAAGUUCAAGGAAUUACACUGUCCCAGAUCCGCCUGGGUUAUUUGAUGGUCACGUCUGGCCCAUGUAUGUCAAACAUAAGAAGGUGAUGGAAGACCUAAAUGUUGAUGUUGCUCUACACACAGACUGAAAAUGAAAGGGAUAGGGAUUGCUUGGGUCAGGAAGUCAGAAUAGUUUUGCUUAGUUGUCUGGACUCAGUUUUUACUUACUGAAGUUCAAUUGGAUGGAACAAAAUCAAGGGAGGAACUUUUUAACACAGUCUUCAGUCACAUCCAGAACAACUUAGAAGAACUGAUUAAGAUGCUGCAUUAGACACGUGGCCGGGGAAUUCCUGAGAAACACUUAUUCAGCAACUGUGUGUUGGGGUGUGUGUGUAUGCUGCCUUGGCGGUAAAGGUGAUUUUUUAAAAAGAAUCCUGAUGUAAGGCUCUAAAAUCUGGCCUUGAUUACAAUGUCUAUUACCCUUUUAC